UUUAACCAUCCAUAACCAGGUAAUCUCGCCAGACACCAAACAAUCUUGCGUGGAAGCGGAUCGUGCUAUUUUUCAGGCACAUGAAGCCCCUUACUCUACAAAAGAGAGAGACUGACCCACCGUCUUUCACGAGAAUUACGACUUAGCAAACAUUUACUGCACACGUGGUGUGUGUCCAGCUGUGAUACUUUGUCACAGCUCCUCUCUGGGAAGGCCAACCAACAAGGCCGUUCAACAGCAAACUCGCGGCUGUGGGACUCCUUGAAAAGCCAGACUCUCCCAUGGUCUCUGUCGGGCUGGAUACCCCCUGCCCCUUGCCCUCCCCGUGCCCGGCCAUCAUGCACCAUCAGAGGUCGGGCGGCCCUGCACCCAUGCACAGGCGUCUCUCGGCUGGGAACAGGGUGACACGGCAUCCCGUGCCGUUGCAGGGAUGAGCCAGGUGAGCACAGGUAUGAGCAGUAACUGCGGGGUGAGGACAGGGGUGAGUACAGGGGACCCCCCCCCAGAACCUGUCAUCCAGGGGCAAAAAUAGAGGCUCUCCACCAUUGGGAACCUGACUGUCCCUUCAAAUUCCAGUUCCUCUGGGUGAGUGACUCGAGGACAGAGAAGAGCUUCAGGCUCUGAAUGGAACGGGGCAGGUUGUGGGGGACGGAAGAGGAAAGAAGGGGGCGGGGCCCAGAAUCAGAGGCUUUAGGACUCAACACGGGGGUGGGGGAGCUUUAGGUCUCAUGUCCCCAAGACCCCACCUCUUACCACCACCAACCACCUCCCUCACUCCUCCGACCUCUGGGGCCAAGAGCAGUCCACCGAGUGAUCGGUUACUUUCCUGGGCAACAGCCGGCGUUGUAAAGCUGGGCUGAUGUCACUAUCAUUCCAGCCAAAAAUGGAAAGACUUCACUUUUCCAAAAGCCUAGAGAAAAACUGCUCGCGGUUUGUUUGCACUCGCGUGGAAAUUGCGGAGUGGAAAACAGAGACGCACUGUUUACGUCUUGUGCUUCCGGCCCAGCCCGAGAAGCCGGCCAUGUCCAUUCUCCAUUUGCCUGUUUGUGUUUUAUCUACAUCCAGUUCUGAAGCCACCCCAGCUCCCACCCUCGGGAUCGUAAAUGCCGUGUGGUUGUCCUCUCUCCAGGAGACCCCUCCCUGACUCGCCAAAGGCCAGCCUCCACGGCAUCCCCGGCAUCCCCGGCAGGGGUGGCCCCAGAGCCGGAGAGCCCCACCCCUUCUGGAAAAGGUAAGAAUGUGGGAGACGUUCUCAGGACCCCCGUCCCUGCUGCCGCUAGGUCCCCAGAGAGGCUUCAGCUUCGUGGACCCCUGCCUGAGUCCCACCGCAGACUUCAGGAAGAACACGCAGCUCUUCUUCAAGCCAAGAAUGAGACUGGAUGCUAGUUUCAUUCCCCCAUCUCUUUUUGGCUUUUUUAGGGCCACACCCGUGGCAUAUGGACGUUCCCGGGAUAGGGGGUUAAAUCAGGGCCACAGCUGCCGGCCUACACCGCAGCCACAGCCACGCCAGAUCCUUAACCCACUGAGCAAGGCCAGGGAUCAAACCGGCAUCCUCACGGAUACUAGCUGAGUUCUUAACCCGCUGAGCCACAACAGGAACACCUCAUUUUCCCUUUUAGACCAAAGUUGCCUGAUAGCUGCGCUGCAUGUGUGCAUAAUUAAUAACGGUUUAAACGCCACUCUGAAUAAGCCAGAUCACACACUGCUGUAGACAUACAGCCUCAAGAACCGGGGGGGGUCUGAGGUUUGGUCUGCCUUGAACAUGACCCUUCCUGGGUCUCGUGAGCGCUGGCAGAAAAAUGACCCUCCUGGAUCACAGAUGGAGGACAUUCUUACCCGGCACAGCAGGCAGCAGGACCAUCGGCAUCUUUCGCCACGUCCCCAGUCCCCACGCCCCUUAAACAGACCUGAACAGAUGCUGGUACAGGCAGUGCACGUCGCUGAGGGGGAAGCCUGUGCAGGGAAGCUGAGUGUUUCACUGCUGGCGUGAACACAUCCGCCCUGUGUUCCGGGGGACGGGGGGCAGGCCCUGUCUGAGCAGCCUUGAAAAGAUAGUGCCUCUGCUGGAUGCCCAACCGGGAGGGCCCCGUGCCGAGCUGGCUCCCAGCAGCCCCCACUGCGACUGCAUCAGUACAGGCGCAGGCGUGAAGCUGCCAGGGUUCUGCGUUUCUUAAGUAAACUCUACCCUAGAGUUCCCACUGUGGCGCAGCGGGAUCGGUGGCAUCUUGGGAGUGCUGAAACGCAGGCUCGAUUACCCGCCUGGCUCAGUGGGUUAAGGAUCUGGUGUUGCCACAUCUGCAGCUUAGGUCACAACUAUGGCUCAGAUCUGGUCCCGGCCCAGGACUCUAUAUGCCGCAGGGCAGCCAAAAAAAGAAAGAAAAGCAAACUCUACCCCAAUUUCCCCAGCACCACCCUGAAGCGAAGAAAAUCUGAGCUCCUGGAUGCUCAGUGUCCUGGGACAACGUGCCCUGUAUCCUCAGAUGCCCUCUGUCGACUCUUGAUUUCCUGUGGCCCGUUACCCUGUUACCCCGUGUGGGGCCCUUCCCAGUCCCCGUCCCUCCCUUCCCCGCCAGGCAGAGCCACCCUGCUGUGUGCACGACCCUGCUCAGGCCGCCUCCCCCCACAGCUGGUUCUUAACAGUGCAGACUCACUGGGAUCUCCUGGGAGCUCUGGGUGGCCUGAGGAUGCCUGGGUGACCAAGGCUGGGAACCAGUGCAGAAAGGCGGACGGAGAGGCCAGAGCAGCGUUGGCUCCCAGUUACCGUGCCGGCGGCAGACNNNNNNNNNNNNNNNNNNNNNNNNNNNNNNNNNNNNNNNNNNNNNNNNNNNNNNNNNNNNNNNNNNNNNNNNNNNNNNNNNNNNNNNNNNNNNNNNNNNNNNNNNNNNNNNNNNNNNNNNNNNNNNNNNNNNNNNNNNNNNNNNNNCCCACCCUCCCCGAGAUGGGGGCCGAGCCAGGACUCGCCCUCCAGCCCCAGUCUCUGUCUAAAGGUAAGGUGGGCCAAAUCUCAGGUUCCCCUUAUUUCAGACGUUUUGCCCAAACAUGUGAGAAAUGAACGAGAACCAGCAUCCCGGGGUCUCUGGCAGGCGCGGGUCCACUCGUCCAGCAGAGCCGGCUCUCAGGUGUCCCACGUGCCUUUUUCAGUCUAUACCUUCUGGUGCCGGCUUCUGCUCAGACCCUUGGGAUCUUUAGGUUACGUGCCCCGUGAUGAAGAAUCCUAAAUCCUCAAGUGUUCCAGAAGGAUGACGAUGUUACCCACGCAAGGGAUUUUCCCCAAGAGCCUGGAACAGCGUGGGGGCGGGGGCGGGGCAGGCUCGGCCGAGCAGGUGCUAGUUAGGGCCGCCCUCCGCCCCAGGCUGAGGCCCUGUUCUCACCAUUCUCCUUGACUGUGUCUUGCCCUUCCCUGCAGAGCCAGCUUUGACUUCCAAGUCAGACCCCACAGUGUCUGCUCCUGGACCAGGAUCCAGGCUGAUGCCGUCAAAACCUCCUCCCGCAGGAACCACAGGCGUAGUCAGUAACGCGCCCCCCCAAGCCCCGUCUCAGACAACAGCCAUGGCCCCGGAACACGCUGGUGCACGACUCAGUCCCAGAGCAGUGGUGGCCGUGGCCGUCUCCACGCCGUGCGCCCUGCUUCUCUGUGGAGCGUGUGUGCUCCUCCUUGUGGUACAUUUUAGAAGGUCAAGGCCAACUUCCCAGACACCUGGUAUGGCGAUGGAAAGCAUGGAAGUCGUGCCAAUGACCGGGGGCAGCGAUGCCACUGGUGGGGGCACGGAAAGCUAACCCCACCCCUGGAGGAAGCUCCAGGGACGCCGAGGCCAGUAAGGGCCGCAGGGAAGGCCCAGCUCUGCUCCAGCCCAAGAGGACUUCGAAGCCUGGGGAGCUGGCCCCGGAGAAACGCCCGCCAGGGUGAGAAAACGUCCUGGUGUCGUUUUACCAUCUGUACCAGCCCAGGCACCACCUGCGCCAGCAGGUUCUCCAGGCUUGAGAGGGAUGCUUGCUGCCAGCCCUGCCAGCCCACCCCUGGGCAGGGAGCCCAGUGCCCGGAGUCCUGCGGUGGGUGGCCGCCUUCCAGGGGUGGGGAGCGGGGGGGAGUGGAGGCCUCGGGUCUUCUGUCGGGGCAUCUAUUCAUCGUGGCACUGAUUCCGCGAGGCUCACCUGCUCCACCCUGCCACCCCUCGUCCUGACCUACGUUUACAGAGAGGCUCUGGGGAAUCCCGAGGCUCCCCCUGCUUGGGAGACAUUUACAAGGGCGACGCCAGCACCAGCUCCUAAAGCCUCUCCCUGCAGCGGGUGCUCUACACGCACAGAAAGGGGGCAUAUAGUGUGCCCUGUGCAUCCUCAUAAGGACUCCGAAAGAAGACGACAGAACUCAGGGGCCCUCUCUCUGUACGUGCGUCUGUAUUUAUAUCCUUCUUUUACGUCUAUGUAUUUUACGAUUUCUAUUUUGAAAUUGUGCCUUGUAUAAACAAAAUAAAAG
ensembl:lncRNA